rnacentral:lncRNA from 1 species
AUGGGGCGGCUUCACUGGAGCCCAGGACUCCUGACCAGGGAUGGUGCUGGGUCUGGUAAGAAUCCUGCAAAACUGAAAAUUAAAUCUUGCGCUGGCAGCAAACGGGACACAGCAGCUGGCCUGGGAGCAGCCACAGGAGCCACAGCCGCCUUUGCCACAGCUGGAGCAAGAGCAGGCUGGCACACAGCAGCACACGGGCACACAGCAGCUGGAGCCACAGCCCCACAGCCAGAGCCACAGCCCCACAGGAGCCACAGCCCCUUGGAGCCCCACAGGAGCCACAGCCCCUUGGAGCCCCACAGGAGCCACAGCCCCUGGGAACCCCACAGGAGCCACAGCCCCUUGAACCCCACAGGAGCCACAGCCCCUUGGAACCCCACAGGAGCCACAGCCCCUUGGAGCCCCACAGGAGCCACAGCCGCCUUUGCCACAGCUGGAGCAGGAGCAGGCUGGCACACAGCAGCACACGGGCUUGCAGCAGCAGACGGGCACACAGCAGCUGGAGCCACAGCCCCACAGCUGGAGCCGCAGCCCCACAGCUGGAACUGCAGCCCCCAUAGCUGGAGCCGCAGCCUCCGGAACAGCCACAGCAGCCCAUGGUUCUGGUGGGUUGAGGGUGGAGUAGGUCAGAGGAGCAGGUGGAGAGAGAGAAGGUGCUCAGUGUGGGGCCUCCUGGGCCGGGAGCCUCUAUAUACCUGCCGGGGUGGGUGUGACCUGGGCGUGCUCCUUCCUGGUUCCUGUCUGGGCCGCAUUUGUUUCCUCCUUGCCCUGUGCUCUCACUGACUCGUGAGCAUCUGUUUUCUUAGGGUUCUAAAUUUGGUGUCUCCCGCCUUUUGGCUCCUAUAAUUAGGGCCUGAGCUCUGCUUGCCCAUUCCUUCUUGACAUCCCUAGGAACUGGUCACCUGCCCUUUUGCCCGUCACAAGUGGCCCUCGAUAGGAUGGCCCAAGUCUGCACCCAACAGAGUCCCGGGGCCUCCUUCUCAGUGUCUGGCUGCACGGGAGAGGCUCGUGGCUCCAGGUGGACGGGCCCAGCUUACGCUCAGCGCCCCAAAUGCAGCUCCUCUCAGCUUAUUUAGGAGAAUACUAACUUCCAAUUCGUCUUCACACUAAAUUUAUUAUUUAUUACAUAAAGAUUAAUUUUAAUUUUUAAUCAAGGUGGUAGACAUAUAGUUUAAAAAUUUUCAUGAGGCUUUACCCC